AAGUAAAGAAGUAAAAUAAUACAUUUAGUUUCGACCUAAAAUAAGAAUAAAAUAAUUCCUUACUUG
rnacentral:tRNA from 1 species